CACGCCGUAAACGAUGAGUGCUAAGUGUUGGAGGGUUUCCGCCCUUCAGUGCUGCAGCUAACGCAUUAAGCACUCCGCCUGGGGAGUACGGCCGCAAGGCUGAAACUCAAAGGAAUUGACGGGGGCCCGCACAAGCGGUGGAGCAUGUGGUUUAAUUCGAAGCAACGCGAAGAACCUUACCAGGUCUUGACAUCCUCUGACACCUCUGGAGACAGAGCGUUCCCCUUCGGGGGACAGAGUGACAGGUGG
rnacentral:rRNA from 1 species